CCCCAAAAGUGGUCCUUAUAGGGUUAUAUUGAAAGCCACUGGCUUGGCUGCAGGAACUGAAGUCAGCAUAAGCUGAAGCCAGGCUCGAAGUGUCCAUCCCAGCCAUACAGGACUCGUAGGCAGAGGAAUUGAGAAGCAGAGAUGUGGCCGGGUCAAAGCCUUCUGUCAUUAGGAGCGAAGUACAGCGAGCAGCAGACCACUGCAGAGACUCAGACACCAGCAGAGAUGCCCUCCAGCUGCUCCUCACCAACUAGGCAGAGAGACCCAGAUCUGGACACUUCUUUUCUUUCUUCCCUGAUGGAAUAAAUACAGUCAGGCAAUCAUCACUGGCCACUAUCAGACCUAUGGCCUGACCCAAUUACAGCAAUUUUAUGUAUCUAUGCCUGUUUCUGUCAAUGAAUCCAAUGAGGUUGAAGGAGACAGUAAAAAAGAUGGAAAGGUUUGGUUUAGAAGGCCAGUGGGGCUGGAAGGAAGUUUUGAAGCCAGAUGAACCUGAAGUUCUUGGGGGUUUGCCUUCCUGCAACAUGGACUCAAUCUGAAAGUAUGGAUCAAAAUGGUGCCUGGAAUUGAAGUGCUCUAGCUGGAUGACAGAGAAGGUACAAGAAGAUUCUUCAGGGAUGUUUGGAUGAGAAUGAUCCAACGAUGAGAAUAAGCACCUUUAGCUGUCAAGAGCUGUGUUGCUGGUGAAAUGAGAAAAGAGACAGCAAAAGUAAUUUUGAAGAAAAAGUUAAGGCAGAACAAAAGGUAUGCAGCAGAGAGCUGUGUGCUCAGACACCUCUUGGAAAUCAUGGACACAGGGAAAAAGAAACAAGGAGGCAGCAGAGGGCAGAAGAACAAAUUACUGAAGGGAUGAGAACCAGUGAAAGACAUUACGAGGAUGCUGCAUUCAAAAAUGGUCUAAGGAGGAAGUAUUAAUGGGAAAAUAAAUUCUCUCUCAUAUAAGAGCUUAGAACUCAAAUGCUUCCUUCACUCUGUACACAGUGAAGAAGCUGGGAGAUUUGCUGUAGAAAAAGGAUAGUGUGCUGAAGUUCAUGGUGAAGAAAUCCAUACAUCUCAUGGCAUGAACUCUAAACAGAUUUCUUUUUUCUGCCAUAGAAAUAGCUAAAAUUUGAUAAAUGCAAUUUGAGUGUAUGCAUGGGACACCUGUCUCAGCUGUACAUUUAAGGCAUGUUCCUGCAUUGACAGAGCAUAAUCUGCAUCUUCUAAAGAUCCCUAACAUCUCUCUGGGUUGUCUCUUUCACUCGUAAUAUCUGCUUCCUCCCAGUUCUUUGGGGACUGUCAGGAAUGAAUCAGAGCCUCAUAAAACCCACCUUACUCAGACACCGUCAGGAAAAGUGAUGUCAUCCUCUGCCAUUCUCCUGCUCCCUGCUACUGCUCUAGUGUGUUGUACCUGGCCAUUGUGUAGACCACAAAUGGGGUUGUUAUUUCUUUCCAUGCUUCUGCUUAACCUAGAGCUACUGUGCACAGUUGAGAAUCGUGUUUGAAAAUUUCUUUUAUGUUUUCCAUAAAAGCUAUUCCACAAGAGUAAUUUGCACUGUAUUGCUUUUGCAUCUUAUCAGCUGCUUCUGACUUAAUCUUAUGAUACAUAGACAAAUACAACCUUUAUAAUGUAAAUAACUGUACAUAAGAGCCUCAGAAAAUCAACAGCUAAAUAUAUUAACAUCCUGUUUAAAAUUAACCAAAAUAUUUAAGAAAGGUAAUGUACUUUUGGCUGGAACUUACUUUAUGAAGUAGGAUAAAAAUUACUUCUUUUGUUUGUAAGGCUCAAGUGACUUUUUUAAUGCUAGAGUUAAUCACCUGAAACAAUUUUUUCUAAUAAGAAGUCAUUUAUAUUUAUAAAUUUAUAUUGCCAGUUUCAAACAAAUGUGGAUUUGAAUGUGUUUAUGUCUAAUAAGCAGCCAAGUAUCACUAAGCUCUGAUCAAAAUUUAGGGUUUAAAAUUAAUUUUUGAACGGAGGAGAAAGCUGCUAAGCUAGAUGUUGCUGGAAAAGGGCCAUGAUUUCUUGGAUAUAUCAAUAUACUCUUUGGUAAAAAGCACCUGAAAUUAAUAAAUUUAAUUUGUGUCUCUUCAGACAAGGCACAACCUAUCUAAGCAUUUACUUUCAUUGCCUUCCAUGUAAUAAGCUCUCGUUACUUUGCACACCCUCAGAUUUAAAUACAUGUGAGAGAAAACCUUUUGAAAUCUCGGCUCUGGAAGUGAGGCUCUCUCAGAGGGGCUCUGGUGUCUGGUGAGGAGGCAGAGCAGUUUUGGGACAGAUCAAGAGGAAUGCGUAGCUGUGCUUUUGCCUAUGGUCCAGGUGGAGCCCUGUUGGUUUGGGUGUUUCUGACCCAAACUGGGCAGCCUGUGUCUCCAGGCACAGCAUGUUUUGUGCCCAGUUUUGCAGACCCUGCAUACAGGCUUCUAUAGGAAUUGCACGGAUGGGAUCUCUACAGAGGGGUGCCUUUCUCCAGUGACACGAUUUCCCUCUCUAUUACAUUGCUAUAAGCCAAACAAAUGUAAAGAAUUCCCAAGGGUGAUGAUACAGACAAGAUUUCACCCUUGCUGACAACUGCUGGAAAGCUGGGACUCAAUACUUCUUUGCCCAUGAGCUAUGAAAUGGCUAUUUCCAUAAUAUCAUUGCACUAACUGUUCCUCCUCUAAGUUACUACAAUGACAAUGAAUCCCUAUAACCCAGGGAUGGCCAGUAAUGAAGAAUAAAUAGCUUUUUGAUAGAGGGACAGACGGGGUUACUAACGGCAGCUUCAAUGGUUGGAAUUGGGCAUCAUUGAUAAUACUGCCUAAAUUUAAUUACUUCAUUUUGUGACACACAGUAUCCCCCUUGUCUUAGCUUAAUGGUUUUGACUUGCUAUUGUGAGGAGAAUGGUUUUUGCCUGGAAAGGGAAGAAAGGUGAUUUUGAAGUUAUAAAAGAAUGUGAAUUAAUUUUCUGAUAUUUAAUUUAUAGCAGAAUACAAACAUAAUAGAACGUAAAGUAUCUUUCUGUUAUUUGAAGCACUCACAACAUAUUCAUUGUAUUUCCUGAGCUUACUUUCAAAGGAGACUGCCCAACAGUUGCACCAAAUAAUCCAAUUGCUAAGCCAGAAAAUAAGUCUGGUUUUAUUUAUGUUCGAUGAGGACUAUGAUCAUGUGUAGUUUUAAAUCAUGACCUCCUAAGCACACUGUGAAACCAUGAGAACAGAAAGCCCAGGCUAGUGCAUUAAAGAUAUUUGACGCCCAGCAGAGGAAACCAGUGUGUUCCAUUUUAAUCAUGGUAGAAAAUGAUUAUGCCUAACAAGAAAGAGAAAGUAAUGUUAUGAACCUAAUUAAUUAAUGUGAAGAAUUUUUAUCCCAACAGAUGUUUUUCUUAAAUAUUUUUCAUACUUUCAUUCUAAAUUGGACCACUAUAUGUUUUAGAUAUAGAUUAAAUCAAAUUAAAUUAAAUAUAUUUUUGCUUUAUUUUAUAUUCUAUUUUACUAGACUGGUUUCAUUUUCAGAAAGACAUAUGCCAAAUUUAUCUUAUGUUAGUUUUAACACCAGGAUAUCAUCUGAAGAUUAAGGGAAAGAUAUAUUAUGAAUAGGUGGCAUCUAUUUUUGUUUUCAAUUCUCCCUACUUACUGUUGUUGUUAUCAUUAUCAAAGCAUAUGUAAGGCUGCAGAAUGUGACAUUUUAAAGAUAAGUUUGCUAGUGGCUUUUUCAAUUUCUGUUUAACUGAAAUGUUUCCUACUUCAUUCAACUACUCUUACAAUUUACAUUAGUCAACACUCCAUCAAUAAAACCAUCAAAAUGAUCUACUACAUUGUAGACAAAAGUUAUUGUGUCAAGUUGACACUAAUCAGUUAAUUCCAGUAAACCUUCAGAUAAACAAAAGCUUGUUGUCUAUUACUGAUGUGUGUGAUUAGCCCCCUGUAUGUCCUAUAGCUAUGCACAUCUAUAGAGAUGUAUCUGGCAGACACUUGGCCUGAGGGCUCUAUAUGUAAACCAGGACAGGAUCUAUAGUUAAUGAUGUUGACCCUGACUCCCUCAACAGAGAUUGGAUUCAGUCCUCAUAACAUCCCGACAGCUGAUAUGUAUA